rnacentral:antisense_RNA from 2 species
CUUGAGCGAACCGAGCAGCAGUGGACGGUCCGCCGGUCGUGCCUGGCCGUAGGUCGCGAGCAGCGCCUGAGCCUC